rnacentral:rRNA from 1 species
GUGGGGAAUAUUGGGCAAUGGGCGAAAGCCUGACCCAGCAACGCCGCGUGAAGGAAGAAGGUUUUCGGAUCGUAAACUUCUAUCCUUGGUGAAGAUAAUGACGGUAGCCAAGAAGGAAGCCCCGGCUAACUACGUGCCAGCAGCCGCGGUAAUACGUAGGGGGCAAGCGUUGUCCGGAAUGAUUGGGCGUAAAGGGCGCGUAGGCGGCCUGGUAAGUCUGGAGUGAAAGUCCUGCUUUUAAGGUGGGAAUUGCUUUGGAUAGUGUCGGGCUUGAGUGCAGGAGAGGUAAGUGGAAUUCCCGGUGUAGCGGUGAAAUGCGUAGAGAUCGGGAGGAACACCAGUGGCGAAGGCGACUUACUGGACUGUAACUGACGCUGAGGCGCGAAAGUGUGGGGAGCAAACAGGAUUAGAUACCCGAGUAGUCC